CGUGAUCCUCUGUGCGAGUCAUCAGGUGCCCGUGAACUUGUUGCUUGAUUUUGGGGCUCCUGAGGGGGACGUUUUUAAAGGGCCCACUUACCCUGUCAUCUCUGCUUCCAGACUUGAUUCCAUUGGAUGCUCAGUUCUCAGCCCAUGUAGAUCAUAUGUGAGGCCUCCAGACUCUGAUGCCUGAACCUCGCCCGGUUCCAUCCUCAUCUCUUGUUCUCAGGAGACCUCGUCCGAAGAUGGACAAACACUGGCUGCUCUCUGAGUCCGUCUGGCCCCUCAGAGCCUGCAUGCAGCUGCCUCAAGCCCUGUCUGUGUGUUGACACCCCUCAGACCCACCUUCACUCUUGUCUGUAAUGUGGAGGUGGAUUCCAUCUUAUGUCACUGUUACUUGGAAAAACUAAGGACAGUGGACAGAGAGAGAGCCUAUCUUUGAUUCUUUGAUUCCCAUUCCUAAAGGGGAGCUUUUUUUUUUUUUUUUGGUUUUUUUAGGGCCACACUCUUGGCACCCGGAAGUUCCCAGGCUAGGGGUCGAAUCAGAGCUGUAGCCGUCAGCCUACGCCACAGCCACGGCAAUGCUGGAUCCGAGUGGCAUCUGCAACCUACACCACAACUCACGGCAACACUGGAUCCUUAAGCCACGGAGCAAGGCCAGGGAUCGAACCCGCAACCUCAUGGUUCCUAGUCAGAUUCAUUAACCACUGCGCCACCACGGGAAUGCCAUCAACUUACAACAUGUAAAUCUUUCAUUCUUUCCCUUACUCAUAAAAGAAGUCCUGGAGUUAAAACGGGAGUUAAAACGGGACCGUUGUAUGCGACUUGCUAAAUCAACUCUUCUUUUUCUUAAAGGUCACUGAGCCCCGUGCUCCCUUGUGGGCACCCACCUGUCCCUCCUCAGGCUCUUUCUCGGGCCCCAUCUUCCUCCCUUGAUGUGGGUGGACACACUGUUAUUUCCUGGCAUAUUUCGUUUAUUGUCCUGAACUUCCCCGUCUCCACAGCACUUUUCCACUCAGCCCUCCUCCGCCUUCCACCUCGAUACUUACACUGUCAACAUAACACCCCUUUCUCUAUGGACAGAUGUUCUUAGGCCAUCACAGCCCUGACGACUCCGAAACCACUUCCAGGAGCUCCCGUGAUGGCUCCGCGGAAGUGAGUCUGACGGGUUUGGCCUUGCCGUGAGCUGUGGUGUAGGUUGUAGACACGACUCGGAUCCCGCGUUGUUGUGGCUGUGGUGGAGGCCGGUGGUCACAGCUCCAAUUUGACCCCAUACGCUGUGGGUGCGGCCCUAAAAAGUUAAAAAGAAGAAGAAGAAGAAAAGAAACCGUUUCAGGAAGGGAUGGUGACAACCUUGGGAGUUACACAGCUCCUUUCUUCUCGAAUCUCCCUGGACAUUUGCCUUUAAACUCCUGCUUUUGUUGGAGUAUUUUGUAGUCUGUUCUCCUCGGGAGGCCUUCAUGUUCAAGAAGCCAAAAGCACGUCGUCUCAGCCUGUCAGGCGAGGUUCACACGCUGGUUCUCAAGACUUUCUGUGUCAGUUGGGAUCAUGUACAGAAACCUGUGAUUUCACCCCCCUGACUUGAAAAUUUGUGAUAGUUUCCCCCAUGCCUUUUUAUUUAAAAAAAAAAUUUUUUUUUGGCUGUGCCUGCAACAUAUAAAAAUGGCCAUGCCAGGGAUCAAACUCGUGCUGCAACAGUGACCCAAACCACAGCCUUGGCAAUGGUAGGUCCUUAACCAUAGGCUACCAGACAACUCCUCGAGCCUUAUCUUUUUUUUCUUUCUUUUUUUUUUUUUUUAAAUGCUUUUUAAGGGCUACAUUCACAGUAUAUGAAGGUUCCCAGGCUAGGGGUCAAAUCAGAGCUACAGCUGCCGGCUUAGCCACAGCCACAGCCUCACCAGAUCUGAGCCACGUCUGCAACCUACACCACAGUUCACAAUAAUGCCAGAUCCUUAACCCACUGAGCGAGGCCAGGGAUCGAACCUGCAACCUCGUGGUUCCUAGUCGGAUUCAUUUCCACUGUGCCACGAUGGGAGCUCCUUCUUUUCUUUCUUUCUUNUUUUUUUUUUUUUUUUUUUUUUUUUUUUUUUUUUUUUUUUUUUUUUUUUUUUUUUUUGCUUUUUCUUGAGACUUUCAAAGGAAAUUGGUAAUGUUAGAUGGCUUGAAAUGGUGCAGAUUUUUACAGCAAAAGAAUCAAAAUUUGCUUUUAUAUAAAAAGAUAUGUUAAUAUUUUGUCGUUUAUUAUGGUAUCCCUUUUUUGCAUUAUAUAUUUUAUGCUUUUCUUUUGCAAUUUAUUCUCAACAGUAUUUGGUGUAACCCUAGUUAAUUUUUUUUUUUUUUUUCUGUCUUUUUGCCUUUUCUAGGGCCGAUUCCGUGGUAUGUGGAGGUUCCCAGGCUAGGGAUCGAAUUGGAGCUGUAGCCACCAACCUACACCACAGCCACAGCAACGUGGGAUCCUAGCCGCGUCUGCAUCCCACACCAUGGCUCACAGCAACACUGGAUCCUUAACCCACUGAGCAAGGGCAGGGCCGAACCCGCAACCUCAUGGUUCCUAGUCGGAUUCGUUAACCACUGUGCCACAACAGGAACUCCAACCCUAGUUAAAUUUAAAUAAAUUCACAGAUUGCUUGCUCUUCAUGGCAUAUAUUUUGGUGCUAGUGAACUGCAUAUUUUAGGGCACUGUACAGGUAGGGAGUUGCUCCAUCUAUUGGCUGUUUAUAUAACUGGAGACUAUGUCAUUUAUUAAUAUUUCAUUGUGGUUUAGAGGUGAUGGUCUUUCAGAACGUUUUUGCUUUUUUUCUUUAGGACCACACCUACUGCAUAUGGACGUUUGCAGGGUAGGGGUCACAUUCGGAGCUGCAGCUGCUGGCCUAUGCCACAGCCGCAGCAAUGCUGGAUCCAGGCCUCAUCUACAACCUACACCAUAGCUCACAGCAAUACCGGAUCUUUAACCCACUGAGCAAGGCUAGGGAUCCAACCCACAUCCUCAUGGAUACUAGUCGUGUUUGUUAGCACUCGGCUACAGUGGGAACUCUCCAGAAGUUUUUAUGUUGCUUCAUGGGUACACAGUUUUACACGAAGAAUUUAGAAGAGCAUGUUGUUUUUUAAAACUGUUUUAUCAAAUUCUCCAUUUUGGAGUUCCCGCUGUGGCUCAGCAGGAUGGAUGGUUUCUCUGCAGGGGCAGGGAUGCAGAUUUGGUUACGCCCAGCACAGUGAAUGAAGGCUCUAGCGUGACCACAGCUGCAGUAAAGACUGCAGCUCUGACUCAGAUUUGAUGGCUGGCCUGCGAACUCCAUAUGCCGUGGAGCAGC
rnacentral:lncRNA from 1 species